rnacentral:rRNA from 1 species
AAGCCCCCGGCUUAACCGGGGAAGGUCGUCGGGUACGGGUGAGCUUGAGGGUAUCAGGGGCUGGUGGAAUUCCCGGUGUAGCAGUGAAAUGCGUAGAGAUCGGGAGGAACAUCCGUGGCGAAGGCGGCCAUCUGGACCAGCACUGACACUGAGGCACGAAAGCGUGGGGAGCAAACAGG